UAGCUUAGUUUUUAUGCCGUUUGCACAUACGAAAAAUUCAAUGUUAUGGUUCUGUAAUGGAUAAACCGUGUGAAAAUAAGAUUAUUAGACAAAACCCGUUACAAGACGACAGUGAAAAAACCAAACUAAGUUUUUUUCCUAAUAUUCCUGCCGCGGAGCUUUAUACGUGUAAGCCUUCAAAAUUUCCAUGAAAUUGAAAAUAUUACGAUGAGCAAACCUGAACUUCACAUUACAUUUUGCGUGGAAAGAUUCGCAGCAUUUCGUGGUGUGAUCGCCUGUACUCUACAUAUCAACCCACUUGUCCAGGGGAAAGUGUGAGUCAUCUAAGUAAUUGGCACAAAUGUAGACAAAAAGUACAUUUGAAAAUUAUGAAAAUCAUAUAUAUUUUUAUUCAGUACUUCAUUAAGUGAUUAUAAUUAAUUACAAUGUCAAGCUCAAACCAAUCAAUGGGAUUCGAACCAUGGCUAAAAGAGAAUCAAACAAUUAGGUACGCAGCGGCGUUCAUAACGUUGCUUAUAAUGUGUAUUGGAAUCGUAGGUAAUAGUUUGACUAUAUUAGUAAUACUAAAAAGUCCACGGAUUCGAAAUGUAGCUUCUGCAUUUAUUAUCAGCCUAGGUGCAGCUGAUUUGUUAUUCUGCAUAGCCGUAUUGCCAUUCAAUGCUUCAAGAUUCUUAAAUAUUAAUUGGGUACAAUACCCAAUACUAUGUUCAAUGGUACCAUUUUUCCAAUACGGAAAUAUCGGUAUAUCACUGCUAUUUAUUACUAUGAUAACCAUAAAUAGGUAUAUAAUGAUCGUUCAUUCAAGCUUAUAUAGUAUAGUAUAUCGUCCAAUAUGGAUAACUUCCAUGAUAAUACUUUGUAUAAUUAUUUCGUUUGGCAUGCUGGUACCUACUCUUUUAGGUAAAUGGGGUAAAUUUGAAAAUGAUCCAAAAUUGGGUUCAUGUUCAAUAAUAUCAGAUGAAUCUGGUCGAUCUUCGAAAUUUGCCCUUUUCAUCACUGGGUUCAUCAUACCGUGUAUUGUAAUUGUUUGCUGUUAUACUAGUAUAUUUUGGGUUGUCCGUAAGUCAGAACAAAGAAUGCGAAGACAUCAAUUAUCCACCCAAAGUGAUCCAACAGUAACAAAUAUGCAGUCAAUAAAAAGAAAACUUAGUGAAUGGAGGAUAACUAAAAUGGUAUUGGCUAUAUUUUUAUCAUUUGUACUUUGCUAUUUACCAAUUACAAUCACAAAAACCUCAGAUCCAGAUGUCCAAUACCCAGCUCUUCUCUUGAUUGCAUAUAUUAUGGUUUACGCGUCAGCAUGCGUCAAUCCAAUCAUAUACGUCAUAAUGAAUAAACAGUACAGAAAAGCAUUUGAAUCAGUUCUAAGUGUUGGAUGUUGUGAAAAAGCUACAAAACGAGUACCUGUUUUGAGAUCCAUAUCGAAACGUCUACAGCCACACGGUAACUUGACAUCAUCAACUGGCAUGCGAACAAUAAGCCCGGGUUAAGGGAGAGUGCCUUAAGAUAUUGGAUUGUUUUUAGGAGCUUCAAAUCCUGCAAUAGGAAAAAAUCAAGAAGACCGUGGAUUUGGGACAACUGUAUCACAUGUGUCAUCAAUUGCUCUGGAAUCAUUGGAUUACAAUAACAGGAUUUCGAGUAUAGCUUAAUUGAACAUAAUUUUACUAAAAAGCAUUUUUAUAUUUUAGGAUUUUAAGUAUUCUUUUUAAUUCAAAUAAAUGCCUAAUAAUAUUUUCAAUGGAAAUAAUAAGAACUGUACCUAGUAUACCAGAUACUUAGUCUACAAAAUCAAACAUUUUUUUUUUUAGAAAUAUGUACGUCAUUCAUAUUUUACAUACUGGCACAACUCACAAUACAUAAUAUUCCCUAGCAUGUAUUAUGGUGACUAACAAAUUUAUAUCAUGAAUAAAUUAGUGUUGAAAAGUCUUA